rnacentral:rRNA from 1 species
UACGUAGGGUGCGAGCGUUGUCCGGAAUUAUUGGGCGUAAAGAGCUUGUAGGCGGCUUGUCGCGUCUGCCGUGAAAUUUCGGGGCUCAACCCCGAACUUGCGGUGGGUACGGGCAGACUAGAGUGUGGUAGGGGAGACUGGAAUUCCUGGUGUAGCGGUGAAAUGCGCAGAUAUCAGGAGGAACACCGGUGGCGAAGGCGGGUCUCUGGGCAGUAACUGACGCUGAGGAGCGAAAGCGUGGGGAGCGAACAGG